AGGGAGAUUACUACAUGUGCCGAACAGCACUGCGCAUUUCCAAGACUUUACAAGAAUAACACAGUCAUUGAAGUUGUGUGCAACGACUUUGCUGGAUUGCAGGAAAGCCUGGAUGAUUGGUUUCAUCCUCCACCAAGGAACUGCAAACUGAUAAACAACAAAGGAUUACUAUGCCAAGGACAGAGAAACAUAGUUCGGCAGGAUUUCGCAAUUGGUAGACCUACACUGCUAGUGCUGAGGUUUCUGUGUGUACAAACUACCAGAAGGAACAAGCAAAUCUGGCCUAAUCAAUUGCCAGAAGAAGUCAAUAUCCUACGCGAAGGGUGGUUUUUUGUUUCCCCUGUAGAUAGUUUAUUUGAAAUAACAUGUAAUACAAUACGACUCAUGAUACAUGUCCCCUCCCCAGGUACAUACCUAUUGGUAUGACUUACCACCAAAACAGGUCAGCCCAUUUUGUGAGCUUCCACCGUGUUGGCAAUCAGGGAUGGCAUUACUAUGACGGAAUGAAAGAGACAUCCAAAGCAGGUGGUGGAGUUGUUAAAGUCAAUGAUGCGGAAGUGAGGAGACUCAUGUUACAAAGCUGGAUUGCAGGACACUUGGUCCUUGUAACAAAAAAUAAAUAAAAUUGGUGGUGCGAUCGUCACAUGGAAGUCUGAAGAUAAGUGUACAGCGACUCCAAGAGGAGUGUGACGUUGUUCCUGUUUGUUGGGUUAAAAAAUUAUCUGGGAUGAUGUUGAGGAGGCGUGCAGGAAAAUGUGGGGAAAUCAGCAUCCUGAACCAGGAGGACAAGACAGCCUUUACUGCAGAGACAGAAGCUGUAAGGGGCAUGGCUGGCAAUACCCACCUGGAUUGGCCUGAGGAGGAAUGACUUCACUCACCCGUGGGCAAGGUCCAGUGUGUACCUACCUCCCCAUGAGCACAGCAGGAAAUUCAGCAUAGAAAUGCUCUGUGCUUCAGAAUCCAGGGAACUGGAGACCUGAGACAUGCACAUAGCCUACA